GACGAACGCUGGCGGCGUGCCUAACACAUGCAAGUCGAGCGAGUGAAUCUCCUUCGGGAGUGAAGCUAGCGGCGGACGGGUGAGUAACACGUGGGCAACCUGCCUCAUAGAGGGGAAUAGCCUUUCGAAAGGAAGAUUAAUACUGCAUAAGAUUGUAGCUUCGCAUGAAGUAGCAAUUAAAGGAGCAAUCCGCUAUGAGAUGGGCCCGCGGGGCAUUAGCUAGUUGGUGAGGUAACGGCUAACCAAGGCGACGAUGCGUAGACGACCUGAGUGGGUGCGCAGCCACAUUGGGACUGAGACACGGCCCAGACUCCUACGGGAGGCAGCAGUGGGGAAUAUUGCACAAUGGGGGAAACCCUGAUGCAGCAACGCCGCGUGAGUGAUGACGGCCUUCGGGUUGUAAAGCUCUGUCUUCAGGGACGAUAAUGACGUUACCUGAGGAGGAAGCCACGGCUAACUACGUGCCAGCCGCCGCCGUAA
rnacentral:rRNA from 1 species